ACGACAAAGGCUCCAAACCUCUUUGAACAUCAUCAUAUGUUAGUGCAGGAUGCAACUAGGCAUUAAAAAAAUAUUGUCAUAUUUUUUGAAAUUUUCUCAAAAUAUGGCUAAACCCCUACACAAAUAUUGAGUUUUGAUAAAUACUUAUAUACUGAAGCCUAUAAUCUUUAGUGUUGUUUUAAAUUUUUACCAUAUUCUACAUUUGUAUUAAUGUAUGCUAAACUCUUUUCAUGGUAAAUGAGCAUCUUUCAAUUCUUUUUUAUCAAUUAAUUUAGUAAAAUUUCAUAAUACCCCUAAAUCGAUGGAAUAACCAAUAUAAAAUUAUUAUUUUCUUGAUAAACGGAGA